rnacentral:rRNA from 1 species
UACAGAGGUCUCAAGCGUUGUUCGGAUUCAUUGGGCGUAAAGGGUGCGUAGGUGGCGCUGUAAGUCGGGUGUGAAAUUUCGGAGCUUAACUCCGAAACUGCAUUCGAUACUGCGGUGCUUGAGGACUGGAGAGGAGACUGGAAUUUAUGGUGUAGCAGUGAAAUGCGUAGAGAUCAUAAGGAAGACCAGUGGCGAAGGCGGGUCUCUGGACAGUUCCUGACACUGAGGCACGAAGGCCAGGGGAGCAAAUGGG